rnacentral:rRNA from 1 species
GUCUAUGGCCAUGCCACCCUGAACAUGCCCUAUCUUGUCAAAUCCCGGAAGCUAAGCAGGGUCAGGCUUGGUUAGUACUUGGAUGGGAGACCACAUAGGAAUACUAGAUGCUGUAGGCG